GAUGAACGCUAGCUACAGGCUUAACACAUGCAAGUCGAGGGGCAGCGGUAUCGAAAGCUUGCUUUCGGUAGCCGGCGACCGGCGCACGGGUGAGUAACGCGUAUCGAGCCUGCCUCAUACUCGGGAAUAGCCUUGCGAAAGUAAGAUUAAUGCCCGGUGUUUUCAGAGUCCCGCAUGAGGCUUUGAACAAAGAUUUAUCGGUAUGAGAUGGCGAUGCGUCCCAUUAGCUUGUUGGCGGGGUAACGGCCCACCAAGGCAUCGAUGGGUAGGGGUUCUGAGAGGAAGGUCCCCCACAUUGGAACUGAGACACGGUCCAAACUCCUACGGGAGGCAGCAGUGAGGAAUAUUGGUCAAUGGGCGGAAGCCUGAACCAGCCAAGUAGCGUGCAGGAAGACGGCCCUCCGGGUUGUAAACUGCUUUUAGUUGGGAAUAAAACGGGGCUCGUGAGCCCCCUUGCAUGUACCAUCAGAAAAAGGACCGGCUAAUUCCGUG
rnacentral:rRNA from 1 species